rnacentral:rRNA from 1 species
CACGUAGGGGGCGAGCGUUGUCCGGAUUUAUUGGGCGUAAAGAGCUCGUAGGCGGCUCGGUAAGUCGGGUGUGAAACCUCCAGGCUCAACCUGGAGACGCCACCUGAUACUGCUGUGGCUAGAGUCCGGUAGGGGAGUGUGGAACUCCUGGUGUAGCGGUGAAAUGCGCAGAUAAUCAGGAAGAACACCAGCGGCGAAGGGCGGCACUCUGGGCCGGAAACUGACGCUGAGGGAGCGAAAGCGUGGGUAGCAAACAGGA